rnacentral:snRNA from 1 species
AGCUUUGCGCAGUGGCAGCAUCGUAGCCAGUGAGGUUUAUCCGAGGUGCGAUUAUCGCUAAUUGGAAGUCCUUAUGAUAGAAAAGAUGCUGAGAAAGACUUUAGCCUUAUGGUGAAAGUAAUUUUUCAUAUAAAAUAUUCGCAAAGCACCUGGGUGG